CGAACGGGUGAGUAAUACAUCGGAACGUGCCCUGUAUGGGGGAUAACUAGUCGAAAGAUUAGCUAAUACCGCAUACGACCUGAGGGUGAAAUGGGGGACCGCAAGGCCUCAUGCUAUAGGAGCGGCCGAUGUCUGAUUAGCUAGUUGGUGGGGUAAAGGCCUACCAAGGCGACGAUCAGUAGCUGGUCUGAGAGGACGAUCAGCCACACUGGGACUGAGACACGGCCCAGACUCCUACGGGAGGCAGCAGCC
rnacentral:rRNA from 1 species